rnacentral:lncRNA from 1 species
CAGGCGAAGCUGGUAAAAAGGGCUACUAUGGGCAACACUCCAGUGAAAAAGGGGAAUUAGGACAUCACGAUAAAGAAAACCAUAAAAAACUAUACGCCGAAGCGGGUGGUAAUAAGAAGUCUCAUCAUCAUGACGAUGGAUACUAUGCUGAUGGUCAUAAAGCCACUCAUGACGAAAAUGGUUAUCAUUUUGUCGACAAGGGCAGCUAUGCGAAAGGGCACGACACUAAAGGUCAUCACAUUGUUCAGCGACUGAAUGAAUUCGAAAAGAAGAAGGAAUUCUUUGACGAAGAUCACGAUGAAGCUCACAAGGAAAGACAUGGAUCUUUUGACGUGGGUGAAGCGUUUAAAAAAGGUGAAGUGCAACAUGGAGGUCAUACCAACAAAGCUUCUACAGCAGAAAAAUAUGGAAGUUCAGCAAAAUCAGAAAAGGGAGCGUUUAACGCUGAAGAAAGUGGACAUGACAAAUCAGCCGGCAUCGAUCAAAACUUUAAAAGUGCUGAAGAGCAAGCAAAGAAAGGAAUUGCUGUUGUCUUUAAGGAAGUGGGGCUCAGCGAUAAAAAAGUUUUAUAGACUGAAAGUUUUUGAUCAUUUUGUGUAAAUAUAUUUAUUGUAGCUGGAUGUAAUUGAAAAUAUAUGUUGUAGUUCUACC